rnacentral:rRNA from 1 species
AGCUUGCUCUUGAUGACGAGUGGCGCACGGGUGAGUAACGCGUAUGCAAUCUACCUAUAACUGAGGAAUAGCCCAGAGAAAUUUGGAUUAAUACCUCAUAAUAUUAUUAUUUGGCAUCAUUUAAUAAUUAAAACUCCGGUGGUUAUAGAUGAGCAUGCGUUCUAUUAGCUAGUUGGUGAGGUAAGAGCUCACCAAGGCUACGAUAGAUAGGGGGCCUGAAAGGGUGAUCCCCCACACUGGUACUGAGACACGGACCAGACUCCUACGGGAGGCAGCAGUGAGGAAUAUUGCACAAUGGAGGAAACUCUGAUGCAGCCAUGCCGCGUGCAGGAUGAAGGCCCUAUGGGUUGUAAACUGCUUUUUUACAAGAAGAAACCUUGGUACGUGUACCAACUUGACGGUAUUGUAAGAAUAAGCACCGGCUAACUCCGUGCCAGCAGCCGCGGUAAUACGGAGGGUGCAAGCGUUAUCCGGAUUUAUUAGGUUUAAAGGGUUCGCAGGCGGAAUUUUAAGUCAGUGGUGAAAGCCUACAGCUCAACUGUA